AGCUCGAUAGCGCAACGGUAGCGCGUCUCUGCCCACAACAGGAAGAUCUCGGUUCGACUCCGAGUCUGGCUA
rnacentral:tRNA from 1 species